UCCAGACCAAGACACUGAGUAAUGAGAGCCACACCACGGUCACAUUAAUGUGGUCUCGAGAGAUCUCAAGAGCAAACCCACAAUAUCAAGACUCUGAUUAAAAGCGUAUUCAUUUAAAACUAUUAAUUGCAAAGAUUGGUACCUGACAUGCAAAUGGAAACCCUAUUCGUCUUCAAAAAACACUUUGGAUGUUCCAGCAAUGACACUGUGGUUCUUGUCUUACAGUUUUCUUGUCUGUUUCGAUGCUGUCUAAACGCUCUGAUGAGCUGGAGUCUCGAUGUGGAGAGAGUCGGAUGGCAGGACCGAAGCCAGUGUGGUUUCUGCGGCAGACCUACUCUGAAAGCUCAGCGAGGUUCACAGAGGUUGCAGGAGUCCCAUACUGCUGUGGUUGAGGUGUUUGAUUAAAUGACCUGGUUAAAAGCAUUCAGCUGGCCGAGAGGGAAGAACCACAAAUGUAUCUAUCAACUUGAGCUGACGAAAGGAUGGAGGAGGAGCAGGAAGACAGUUUUGCCUUGCAGUACCUUGGAAAGAAUCAAUCCGAAGAAACAUAUGUUGGGUGAUGAAACGGUGCCUUUUCAAGUUUGAGAAGGUGAUCUUUUAAAGGUUUUUGUGCGGUUUUAAACAUUCUCUGAGAUGAAGAAUAAAUUGCAUUGUGCCAUC